GAUGAACGCUGGCGGCGUGCCUAAUACAUGCAAGUCGAGCGAACAGACGAGGAGCUUGCUCCUCUGACGUUAGCGGCGGACGGGUGAGUAACACGUGGAUAACCUACCUAUAAGACUGGGAUAACUUCGGGAAACCGGAGCUAAUACCGGAUAAUAUAUUGAACCGCAUGGUUCAAUAGUGAAAGACGGUUUUGCUGUCACUUAUAGAUGGUCCCGCGCCGCAUUAGCUAGUUGGUAAGGUAACGGCUUACCAAGGCAACGAUGCGUAGCCGACCUGAGAGGGUGAUCGGCCACACUGGAACUGAGACACGGUCCAGACUCCUACGGGAGGCAGCAGUAGGGAAUCUUCCGCAAUGGGCGAAAGCCUGACGGAGCAACGCCGCGUGAGUGAUGAAGGUCUUCGGAUCGUAAAACUCUGUUAUUAGGGAAGAACAAAUGUGUAAGUAACCAUGCACGUCUUGACGGUACCUAAUCAGAAAGCCACGGCUAACUACGUG
rnacentral:rRNA from 1 species